rnacentral:rRNA from 1 species
UAGAGAUGUGGAGGAACACCAGUGCGAAGGCGACUCUUUGGUCUUAACUGACGCUGAGGCGCGAAAGCGUGGGGAGCAAACAGGAUUAGAUAGCCUGGUAGUCCACGCCGUAAACGAUGAGUGCUAAGUGUUAGAGGGUUUCCGCCCUUUAGUGCUGCAGCAAACGCAUUAAGCACUCCGCCUGGGGAGUACGGCCGCAAGGCUGAAACUCAAAGGAAUUGACGGGGGCCCGCACAAGCGGUGGAGCAUGUGGUUUAAUUCGAAGCAACGCGAAGAACCUUACCAGGUCUUGACAUCUCCUGACAACCCUAGAGAUAGGGCGUUCCCCUUCGGGGGACAGGAUGACAGGUGGUGCAUGGUUGUCGUCAGCUCGUGUCGUGAAAUGUUGGGUUAAGUCCCGCAACGAGCGCAACCCUUGAUCUUAGUUGCCAGCAUUCAGUUGGGCACUCUAAGGUGACUGCCGGUGACAAACCGGAGGAAGGUGGGGAUGACGUCAAAUCAUCAUGCCCCUUAUGACCUGGGCUACACACGUGCUACAAUGGAUGGUACAAAGGGCUGCGAGACCGCGAGGUUAAGCGAAUCCCAUAAAACCAUUCUCAGUUCGGAUUGCAGGCUGCAACUCGCCUGCAUGAAGCCGGAAUCGCUAGUAAUCGCGGAUCAGCAUGCCGCGG